rnacentral:lncRNA from 1 species
GUUAAGAAUUAGUUUCAAUGGAAAGCAUAUAGGCCUUUUUUAUUGCAUUGCUAAAAACAGGUUAAUCGUUAAUCAAAGAUGGGUUAUCAUCCUGGGUCAACAACUUUGAAAGCAAACUGUUAUGAGUUGAAUUGAGUCCCCUCAAAAUUCAUAUAUUAAAGCCCUAACCCCCAGUACUCCAAAAUGAAAUUGUAUCAGAGAUAAGGCCUUUAAAGAAGUGAUUAAGUUAAAAAUGAGCGUUUGUUUUUUUUUUAGGGUAGACCCUUAUCCUGUCUGACUGGCACCCUUAUAACAGGAUAUCUGAACACACAAGAGAGACCAGGGAUAUUCACACACAGAGGAAAGACCGUGUGAGAACAUGGUGAGAAGGCAGCCAUCUGCAAGCCAAAGAGAGAGGCCUCAGGAGAAACCAAUGCUGCCAACGCCUUGACCUUGGCCUUCCAGCCUCCAGAACUGUGAGAAAAUAAAUUUCUGUUGCGUAAGCCCCCCAGUCUGUAGUAUUUUGUUACGGCAACCCACACUGACUAAUACAUAAACCAUCAAGUAAAAGGAGUGAUCUGGAAGCAAGGCCCUAAUACUAGGUUGAAGUUGACAACAACAAGAGCUGGUGUAGAACAGACAGCAAGGAAUGAAGUCAAGAUACAGGAGAAAAGACUCUGGUUGCAGAGUCAAACCAAGAGACAAAAGAAAUAUACCCCUUGGCUUCCAGUCUGUGAAGGGAUAGGGUGGGAGACAUGGCUAUCUCUUCCAUUAGACAAGGAUUCUGACAAAUGCAAUGCUAGAGAGUCUCCACUUCAUUCUGUGAAAUACAGUAGGAAUGUGGUCCAUUCUGGAUUUUAUGAGAUGUUGGUGAGAUAAGAGUAUGACCUGUCGGUAUGGCAAGAGAUUAGGCAAAAGAUUACUUAGGUUCUAAUUAAGGCAUAUUUCCAGACAUCUCAAUGGUUACAACAGGGAUGGAGGCUGACAGAGUCAACUCAGGGAGGAAAGAGAGAGAGAGAAAAAGAAAGUAAACUAAGCAAGUAAGUGAAAUACAAACCUGGGUACACCGAGAAAUCCAUAAAUUUGACUAGCUUACUUCAAAGUUCCUUGACUACUUCUGUGUCAGGAAGGAUAGCACUCAGAAAUUAAGUUGAUUACAGGAAUCUAACAUUACAUUGACUGACGCCUGAGUCUGUGACUGUGAAAUUUGUUUAUCUCUUUGGCUAGCCCUGGGCAUUGCAUGGAGUGCUCACUCCACAAACACUGGUUGAGAGGUUGAGUGGGUGCAAGAAUGUAGGGAGUAUAAGUAAGAAAUGCAAAGCUAGCGACUUUGUCAGUCACGGUGAGUUUCAAAAUAAAGAAAAAUGAACUCAUAUGAGUUGACUCUGUUUCUAAUGUUAUUUCUGUAUUAUUUGAAAAGCAUGUGAAUUCAAUGAAAGGCAGAAGAUGAGAUGUGUUUGAAAGCUGAAUUGUGGCCCUAGACAUAUACUUGAUAUGGUUAACUCCCUGUGUUGACUGUGUGUGUCUUAGGGAGGUAAACCAAGGAUGUCUUUAUGUAGACAUAAAGUUAUGUGUUUGUUACUGGGAAGUGCAGGAAAAUAAAUAAGUGAAUUAAUUAAUUAAAAUAAAGUCAUGUGGAUGUCAUUAGCAGAAUUGAGACCUUAAAAAUAAUCUAUAAAGAAGCUCUCCUUUUCCCAUUUUCCUCCCCUUUUUUGUUUUUCCCUCCCAAAGAGUGAACCCUCAUUCCUGUAAUCCUAGUAGACCCUCCUCAGAGUUACCACGUUUUCUUUGUUAAUCUUUGAGGCUGCCCUGUAUAACACGUUGCUUAGGCAAAAAAAAAAAAAAAAAAUUCCUGCAGAAAGGAUUAAUCCAUUGAUAUCAUUUCUCAUUAUUCAAAUAAUUAGACAUUAUUUCACAAAAUAUAUCUUCUUUGUUACAAAGAAGAUGAGAAACUCAUUCUCACCUACAGGCAGCCUCAGAUGACUAGUAACACCAACUGGAUUACUUAGAACCGAUGUUUCUGUGGUGGGUGAGUUAUUCCCAAGCAAUUCAACAGUGUACCUCCUUUGAGCAAAAAACUACACCAGGGAGAGUGGGAUAUAGAAAGAUAAACAAGAUAUGGCUUUUGACCUGCAGGGGCUGACAAUCAAGAGAAAAGACACAUAUACAAACACUGCUAAAACUAAUCAGAUGAUGAAAAGCACCAUAGUCUAAUGCAGGCAAGAGCUGAAGGAGUUUAAGGAGGCAAUGAUUGAUUCUAAAUGAGGAUGAAGGAGAGUCUUUCCUGAGGAAAUUGUAUUUAAGUUUGAGAAUUCUAGGGCAAAACUCAAUUCCUGAUGAGAGACCUAUUUUCACAUUGGUAGUUUGAGAUUCCUGGUCAAGACUGAAAAACCUUCAGUUGCAGAGGAAAAACAUGAGUGUCAUGUUAACUUAUCUUGAUGCCUAAUUCUUCUGAAAUUAAAAACCCAGAGAGGCAUACUUAUCCAGGUUUAUUAAAAAUAAAACCUCAGUGACUCAUGAGUAGUUUCGUUCCACUUACUUUUUGAAAGUCAAUUUUAACGGAAAUAUUACAAGAUAAAUAUUAAGAGAUUGCUUCAGGGCAGCCCGCCUCAGAAAUCUGAAGCUGCCACUCUCAAUAUGUCAGACAUUGCCCACUGUGAUUUCGGAGCAGCCGCUGACUUUUUUUUGCAGCUGUUAUGUACUGUACUGACAUGGUUCAUUGAGUGCCACAGAACAGCUUGUACAUGUGCGUGUGUGUGUGCACGUGCAUGUGCUUGUGUGAGCAUACGUGUGUUCUGAUACAAGAUUUGAAACUGAAUGGAAAACGAUGAACUUCAAAUAAUAGCCCUAAGAAAAGAUAAGCCUAACAAGGAAUAGUCUGGUUCUUCUUGACUUAGAAAUUUGCUAUAACUGUUAAAUUACACAGGGAUCCAGAUGAGCCAGCUCCCGAAACUAAACACACAUAUUUGGAAUUGUUUUCCACAGUCUCCAUGGCUACCCCUGGGGUUGCCUAGUCUUCUCAGAACCUUGUUUUCACACACAUGAAGGAGUGCAACCACACCACCCACAGACUUCAAAAUUUACACUGGCUCGUCAUUCAGUUAAGGAUCUUUCCUAAAUUGCCUUCCUUGUUAUUUUGAAUUUUCUCCCUGACCUUCCUCCAGUUCCCUGAAAUGGCUUCACCUCUGUCAGCUUCUCCCUCACUCUGUGGCUUCAGUAUCAACCAUCAAGUCCUGGAGAGGACUGGCUUCCUGUUCCACCAAUAAAUCCCUGUCAGCUGAGGCGGGUGCAUAGCGAGAACUCUCCUUGCUGCCUUUUUUCCCAGCCCAAUUCUUCCUGCUCAUCCCUACCAAAUUCUUUUUCUCCCAGAGAGGUUUUUAUGACAUCCUUGCUCCAAAUCCAUUUACAAGAUUCAGUCCAAAAUCAUCAGCUGGAUAUAAUGGACCCCCCACAAUCUGGCAUCUUAAACCUUAUCUACUGCAAUUGCUCUUGCACCUUGAUUCCAGUUAGCAAUGCCUGUUCUCUAUUUUAAACAAUGACUAAUUUAUCCAACUCUAUUCAUUUGCUCAAACUAUUUUCUUGCCUACAAUAGCCUCCCAACAUUUUUCCACUCAAUCUGAGAACUCCCAAGAUUCCUUCAGCUGUUUCUACUACCUUUGGACAUGGAAUUUCAACAUAAAAAAGCAUUUUUCAGAGUUUCACUCUUGUCGCCCAGGCUGGAGUGCAAUGGUG